UGGAGCAGCAAGAAUAAGCUGUGGGACCAAUGGGCUGUGGGAACAUAGAGCAGCUGACCCCCAACAGGGUCUUCAUGGUUGUAUGACCUGAAUACAUUUUCAAAGCGGAGCCACAGGAUGCGGACUUCUACUCUUUUCCACUAUUAGACGCGCCUUUGUCCUGCACCUGGCCUCAGCGAGGUGGGAUGUGCAUACUCUUACUUUUAUAAAAAUGUUGUAUAUUGACCACUAAUUCUGUGCAUGCUGUCAUACAGAGAUGAUGACCCAUUCCUGAAGUUGGACGCCAGAAUGCAGGAAGGUGCUGUUUAAGAGCCUAGACAAGGAGGCCGGAAACUUUGAUGACCUCAAUGACACUGGCUAGGUGAAGGACAUCAAGAAAAUGGCAUCAGGUCACCAGACAUCAGCUCAUAAUCCACAACGUCAUCAACCAUUUUGCGCCAAAAAUGAAGCCGUUCACAUACCAUGGCAUCCUAAGCAGGCAGCACUACACUACUGUGCAACAGUGAGAGAGAGUGGGCAAGGACAAGUAAAGCGGACCUACACUACAGCAAGACUUUGACACUUCUCCACGUGAGAGGCAGCCAUCGCCCCCACCGUUGAGCAGUGUGUACCCAGUACCCCCAAAAGAGGAGAUGAUCCGACGCCCUCACAGCCGAUUCCCAAAAUUGUACACAAAAACUCUGUAUGGGCAAGUGUGUGUGUGUGUGUAUGAUAUUGUAAAACUUUUCAGUCCAUCUUCUAUACUAUACAAUGUAUAAAUAUACAUGUGAAAACCUAAAUAUGCAUUAAAAACCAUUACUGAGGUUAAGAAAUGCAUUAUAACAAAUACAUCUGAUUCAGGUGUACUGUACAUAGAAAUGUCUUUAUUUGCCACAAAUACAUCACAUCCUGGAAACCUGUACAAUGUGUAGAUUCAAAGGUCUGCCAGAUCUUUGUGACGGCACAGGAUUGCAGUGGAACCCAAACAUAGCCUAUGAACUCCCACGCCAUCUCACCAACUGCCGAUAUGCAGUAUGCCUGAAUUUCCUGUACAGCAAAGAAAUGUAGAGAUUGUGCCUUCAUCGAGAAUAGGUCAUUUGGAAUCACAACAAUUAUUCAAUUUACUUUGUGCGUGUGGUGUAGCUAUUGCUGUUAUUA